rnacentral:lncRNA from 1 species
CUCCACUGUUGUCCUAUGACCCUGCCAAAUCCCCCUCUGCGAGAAACACCCAAGAAUGAUCAAUUAAAAAAAAAAAAGAAAAAAGAAAAAAGAAAAAAUACACCCUGGCAGAAAACUUCUCGAAUGUAAGUAAAGUGGGAGUUUUCAACUUGCCCACCUCCUUACAAAAACAUGCAAUAAGAAUGUGCUAGAUAUAAAGCUUACAAAUGUGAGAAAUACGGGAAGUUUUUCAAUUUUAACAAAUACUUUCAAAGUCAUGUGAAAAUUCUCACUAGAAAGAAAUCCAAUAAAGGCAAGUUGAGGCAUUAAAAAAAAAAAAAGAAAAAGCUCAGAAUACAUAUAAGAUUGACUAAGUCAGCCAGAAAAUAAUCCCCUAAAAGAAAUUUCUCUCUAAACACCCAAUGUGCACAGCUACUCUCAGCAUGAGAAACAUGAGCUUUAUGAAGAAAGGUGGCAGAUUUUCAGAAGAAUUUUAUAAAAGUUUCUUUUCCAUCUCUGCUGCUGUCUCAUCUCCUAGCCAUUGAAUGGGGGUUCUAUAUUGAAAUACAUCUGACAACUUCCAACAACACUUUUUGAUCAAGAAAUAGAAUUUGACUAUGUUCGUAUAGUGGAAUAUAUUAGAACUUGUAACAUAGCUAACUGAAUAGCUAUUAUGGUGUUUGGGUGGCCACAUCACCUGUCUUUAUUUGUCCGGUAAUAGCAGCAUUCCAAUUUAAAGAAAUAAAA